rnacentral:misc_RNA from 1 species
GAUGAAGAACGUAGCGAAAUGCGAUAAGUAAUGUGAAUUGCAGAAUUCAGUGAAUCAUCGAAUCUUUGAACGCACAUUGCGCCCGCCAGUAUUCUGGCGGGCAUGCCUGUCCGAGCGUCAUUUCAACCCUCGAACCCCUCCGGGGGGUCGGCGUUGGGGAUCGGCCCUGCCUCUUGGCGGUGGCCGUCUCCGAAAUACAGUGGCGGUCUCGCCGCAGCCUCUCCUGCGCAGUAGUUUGCACACUCGCAUCGGGAGCGCGGCGCGUCCACAGCCGUUAAACACCCAACUUCUGAAAUGUUGACCUCGGAUCAGGUAGGAAUACCCGCUGAACUUAAGCAUAUCAAUAAGCGGAGA